GAGCUGCAACUGCCAAAUAGCCCUGCAAGUUCUCUGCUCCCUACAGAGUGCUGUAGUGUUAUUCAUCAUUCCUUAACGAAAGAAAGAAGUUCUGGAUCGCUUCCCUCUACCUGUGAGCACAAAUGUCUCAAUUUAAAAGGAUGCUUUAAAGCUUCUCUGUGUAGUAGCUUCCCUAAGAAAGGCAUGGCUUUGUCCUUAAGGCCUUAUAUGAGAAGAUUUUUUAGAGUCUCAAGCUCUGCUUCUACCGAGUGCAGAGACCUAUUGAUUGCAUAUUCAGGCCCAAAUGACUUAUCUCUAAGAACUCAACUCCUUUCUCCCCAAAACAUGCUUGAAAUCAA
rnacentral:misc_RNA from 1 species